rnacentral:rRNA from 1 species
UGAGGAAUAUUGGUCAAUGGACGCAAGUCUGAACCAGCCAAGUAGCGUGCAGGAUGACGGCCCUAUGGGUUGUAAACUGCUUUUAUAUGGGGAUAAAGUGGGGAACGUGUUCCCUUUUGCAGGUACCAUAUGAAUAAGGACCGGCUAAUUCCGUGCCAGCAGCCGCGGUAAUACGGAAGGUUCGGGCGUUAUCCGGAUUUAUUGGGUUUAAAGGGAGCGUAGGCCGUUUGGUAAGCGUGUUGUGAAAUGUAGGAGCUCAACUUCUAGAUUGCAGCGCGAACUGUCAGACUUGAGUGCGCACAACGUAGGCGGAAUUCAUGGUGUAGCGGUGAAAUGCUUAGAUAUCAUGAAGAACUCCGAUUGCGAAGGCAGCUUACGGGAGCGCAACUGACGCUGAGGCUCGAAGGUGCGGGUAUCGAACAGG